GCCCCCUCCUGGCUUUGACCCAGCACUGCUGGACCCAUCUAGUCCGUUCCUCACACUCGCGGACUGGAAGCUCCAGGCUGCACAACCACCAACUGCACCAACCAUGUGCCUAAAGCUAACUGUGUCAAAAAGAGCAUGCUUCGAGGGGCUGGAGUGAGCAAUUCAACUUGUGGAGAAAUAAGAAAUAAUAGUGUUGAGACAAGAAACAUAAAACCGCAGGAACUUUUGGAGAAAGAUUUCUUGGGAGGAAGCUAUCCUGAACGCUUAGAGACUUUUCUCAUUUACUGGCACACCAGCUUUAGAGUCCUAGGUCUUCAUCCUGGCUCAGCCACCCUCCAGCUGUGUGAACUUUGAGAAGUUGCUUGACUACACUGAGUCUCGUUGUCACUAUGAGUGGAGGUUGCUACGUUGCUACUGUGUGGAGCACCUACCCCCAAGCACUCUUAUAAGCUGCAGCAUAUCAUGAGUGAUGAGAUCUGUGUACAGGUGACUGACCUUUACCUGGCAGAAAAUAAUAAUGGGGCCACCGGAGGCCAGCCGAACACACAGAACUCAAGAAGCCUCCUGGAGUCAACGUAUCCACAGAAAGCCAAGCAGCUAAUGUCAGAUGAGAAAUGCUUUAAGGAAGCCACUGGAAGAUGUGCUGCAACACGGUGAGAGGAUAAACCAAGGAAAAAGAAGAUCUGGGGCCAGGGAACAGGAGAUGCACACAGAAGAGGCAGCAGGAAAUUCACACGAUGGUGCAGAGACAUGCCAGGAUGCCAGCUGUGCCAUGGGCUGAGAGCCGAGUCCAGUUUGGAGCAGAAGGAUGGAGUUCAAGGGAGAGAGAGAAGCCUCCAGGAAAAUAAUGGGGCUGAUAGAGUAUCCAGUGUAUCUUAGUUUUUGGAUAAUUAUCACUAGGCAUUUGAUAGAUUGGUUGAAGCAUCUGAAAA
rnacentral:lncRNA from 1 species